rnacentral:tRNA from 1 species
GGCGGGGUAGCUCAGCUGGUUAGAGCGACGGAUUCAUAACCCGUAGGUCGGCAGUUCAAGUCUGCCCCUCGCCACCA